rnacentral:lncRNA from 1 species
GCUAGGGCAUUCCUCUCUCCAAUAUAUUAUAUAUAUAUUGAGGGUUGAGCAGGUCAAAAGAGGCAGCCAAGCUGAAAGGGGAGAUAGGCCAUAGCCAUGGAAGGAGGAGGAUAAGGAGGAGAGUUGAAAGAAGGGUGGGGAUAGGAAAGGCUUGAGGAUGCUGUUGGAGUGGGAGAGUGGGAAAAGAAUGGAUCUCUUUGGUUGGUUCAAAGGGAACAAAUUUCUUUCCUACUCCACCCAUUCCUGCAAUUUCCUUAGGUUUCUCCCUUUCCCUUUCCACUUCUUGUUAGAAUUUUUGGUUGAAACAGAAGGUGUUGAGGUUUGAAUUCAUUCCUGAACUCUUCUUUGUGGUGUUGUUUACUAGUGAUUUAGAAAUAUUGUUUGUAAGAAACAGAAAAACUAGUGACUUAUUAUAUAUUGACUGGAUCUGUGCUUUGAUCUUGGCGGCGUGGGAUUUUGUUUACUGAUGAUAAUUUGCAGGUGCAAUUAAUUGUGGAGAUGUUUUCAAAGUGUUGUGUUGGUGAAGAAGAACAAGUGAUUGAAGGAGGUGGAACUUGUGUCCAAGUCAUUGCAAGGUUUUGUUGAACUUGAGAUGAAUAGAUGUUGUAUUUGUAUGUAACUAAAUACUUGUAUUCAGCGGCAGCCAAAAAUCAGUCAAUGAGACAAGUUUUGAAUGCUUAUUUUUGUACCGAGUCCGAAGCUAAACACGAGAAAGGGGGUUCAACAGCUUUGCUGGAAUUAAUAAACAAGCAAAUUAAGAAGAGAAAGGGCUUUUCUCUUUUCUUGUCAAUCCUUGAAACGUUUUGAUCUAAUUAAUGACCAAGAAAAGUGUGGUUUCCUUUGAGUCCUGCUAAAUGGAAACCACCGUUAAAAUUAACUGAGGUGACACUGACAAGACGUGUCUGAAACUUGCUAGUAAGGAAUCUUUAUAGUUUGUCUGAGAGUGAGACUCUGAGUUGGACUUGGAAUCAAUAUCUUAUCUCCCUUUGCAAAACAGGUAAGCAUCACGCAAAGUUGCAACCAAUGCGGAUUCGAAAGCUUUUGAAAUCCGAUACUGAGCUGAGCUGCUGCUGACUCUGAUCCUGAUCCAUCCAGCACGAGUCACGACAAAAGCAGAUCACAUGAC